rnacentral:rRNA from 1 species
UACAGAGGUCCCAAGCGUUGUUCGGAUUCACUGGGCGUAAAGGGUGCGUAGGCGGUCGGGUAAGUCUGAUGUGAAAUCUCACAGCUUAACUGUGAAACUGCAUUGGAUACUAUCCGGCUUGAGGAAUGGAGGGGAGACUGGAAUACUUGGUGUAGCAGUGAAAUGCGUAGAUAUCGGGAGGAACACCUGUGGCGAAAGCGGCUCACUGGACCACAACUGACGCUGAGGCGCGAAAGCUAGGGGAGCAAACAGG